GUCCGGGUGGCGGAAUUGGUAGACGCGCUACUUUGAGGGGGUAGUGGCCGUAAGGUCGUGUGAGUUCGACUCUCAUCUCGGACACCA
rnacentral:tRNA from 1 species